CGCUCGCAUCAGGCACAGCCCCUGGGUCGCAGCCAUCGCGCGGCACUAUGGAGAUGCUGUCCGCACCUCCCAGGUGAGGAAGCCCGCAGCCUGGAGCGGCCCCACGGCGCACAGGCCCCGGCCGCCCCACGAAGGCACGUCCCGCGAGCAGGGCUGGGACCCCGCCCUCCACUCCCCCGAAAGCGCCGGUGCCACCUCCGCUCAGGCUCCCGCCCACGGGGCAGAGGCAGGGCUGCAGCCGGGUAGGCAUCGGGCCCGGGCGCUCACCGUCGCACAGGAAGCCGGCCAGCCCCCAGAUGAAGUCGGAGCAGAGGUGGCAGAAGGAGCUGCGCUCUGGGACAGACAGCACCCUGAAGAAUGAGGGCUGCCUGGGGGCAGCAGGAAGGCGUCCAGGCGGAAAGCCGGAGCAGAGGCCCUGUGGCAGGGUGCUCCGCAGAAAUCCUUUCCUGAUGCCCACCUAUGCUGGGAGGCCCGGAGUCACCACCCCUGCAUUCCCUGUCUCCUGUGCCAGACCCCACCCCGAGCCUGCCCUCAGCCAGGCCCCAAGACCCCCUGUGCCUGGGCCCUGGGAGAGCUAGGACCCAGCCUUGUGGCCCAUGAGGAGGAGGUGGCUCACUGAGCCCGUGGUGCUCAUGGCAGUGAACCACGGUGCAAACUGCAGCUGGCUUCUGAGGAAAAACUGUUUAAGGACAUACCUUUCUCCAUUUAGGAGACAGUGGAGAGCAUCAAAAACAUCUUAAAAAGGAAAACCCUCAUCUACCAUUUCUGCCAGAACUUUCUGCUUUCUGACGCACACGUUAAUUAAAAUGGCGGGCAAAGCAUCCUUCCAGCAAACACUCCACGGACUUCCUAGAACGUCCUCCAAAGCCACCAGCAGCUUCUCGCUGAAGGGGCCUUAAAACUUUGAAUCCGCUCUCCCUCUCCCUCUCCCUCUCCCUCUCCCUCCACGGUCUCCUUCCACGGUCUCCCUCUGAUGCCGAGCCAAAGCUGGACGGUACUGCCGCCAUCUCGGCUCACUGCAACCUCCCUGCCUGAUUCUCCUGCCUCAGCCUGCCGAGUGCCUGCCAUUGCAGGUGCGCGCCGCCACGCCUGACUGGUUUUCGUGUUUUUUUUGGUGGAGAUGGGGUUUUGCUGUGUUGGCCGGGCUGGUCUCCAGCUCCUAACCGCGAGUGAUCCGCCAGCCUCGGCCUCCCGAGGUGCCGGGAUUGCAGACGGAGUCUCGUUCACUCAGUGCUCAAUGGUGCCCAGGCUGGAGUGAAGUGGCGUGAUCUCGGCUCGCUACAACCUCCACCUCCCAGCCGCCUGCCUUGGCCUCCCAAAGUGCCGAGAUUGCAGCCUCUGCCCAGCCGCCACCCCGUCUGGGAAGUGAGGAGCGUCUCUGCCUGGCCCCCCAUCGUCUGGGAUAUGAGGAGCCCCUGUGCCUGGCUGCCCAGUCUGGAAAGUGAGGAGCGUCUCUGCCCGGCCGCCAUCCCAUCUAGGAAGCGAGGAGCGCCUCUUCCCCGCCGCCUUCCCAUCUAGGAAGUGAGGAGCGUCUCUGCCCGGCCGCCCAUCGUCUGAGAUGUGGGGAGCACCUCUGCCCCGCCGCCCUGUCUGGGAUGUGAGGAGCACCUCUGUUGGCCACAACCCUGUCUGGGAGGUGAGGAGC
rnacentral:lncRNA from 1 species